ACGGCUCAGUAACACGUGGACAACCUACCCUCAGGUCGGGGAUAAACCCGGGAAACUGGGUAUAAUACCCGAUAGAUCUCGGCUGCUGGAAUGCAUCGAGCUCGAAAGCUCCGGCGCCUGAGGAUGGGUCUGCGGCCUAUCAGGUAGUAGUGGGUGUAGCGUACCUACUAGCCUACGACGGGUACGGGUCGUGAGAGCAAGAGCCCGGAGAUGGAUUCUGAGACACGAAUCCAGGCCCUACGGGGUGCAGCAGGCGCGAAAACUUUACAAUGCUGGAAACAGCGAUAAGGGGACCUCGAGUGCCAGGUUACAAAUCUGGCUGUCGUGAUGCCUAAAAAGCAUUGCAUAGCAAGGGCCGGGCAAGACCGGUGCCAGCCGCCGCGGUAACACCGGCGGCUCGAGUGGUAACCGUUAUUAUUGGGUCUAAAGGGUCUGUAGCCGGCCGGAUAAGUCUCUUGGGAAAUCCAGCAGCUCAACUGUUGGGCUUUCAGGAGAUACUGUCUGGCUCGAGGCCGGGAGAGGUGAGAGGUAUUUCAGGGGUAGGGGUGAAAUCUUGUAAUCCUUGAAGGACCACCAGUGGCGAAGGCGUCUCACCAGAACGGACCUGACGGCAAGGGACGAAGGCUAGGGGCACGAACCGGAUUAGAUACCCGGGUAGUCCUAGCCGUAAACGAUACUCGCUAGGUGUCGGCCACGGUGCGACCGUUGUCGGUGCCGUAGGGAAGCCGUGAAGCGAGCCACCUGGGAAGUACGGCCGCAAGGCUGAAACUUAAAGGAAUUGGCGGGGGAGCAC
rnacentral:rRNA from 1 species